CAGCAGCCGCGGGAAAACGAAGGGUGCAAGCGUUAAUCGGAAUUACUGGGCGUAAAGCGUGCGCAGGCGGUUUGUUAAGACAGAUGUGAAAUCCCCGGGCUCAACCUGGGAACUGCAUUUGUGACUGGCAAGCUAGAGUGUGGCAGAGGGGGGUGGAAUUCCGCGUGUAGCAGUGAAAUGCGUAGAUAUGCGGAGGAACACCGAUGGCGAAGGCAGCCCCCUGGGCCAACACUGACGCUCAUGCACGAAAGCGUGGGGAGCAAACAGGAUUAGAUACCCCGGUAGUCCCUGUCUCUUAUAC
rnacentral:rRNA from 1 species